rnacentral:rRNA from 1 species
UACGUAGGUGGCAAGCGUUUAUCCGGAAUUAUUGGGCGUAAAGCGCGCGCAGGUGGUUUCUUAAGUCUGAUGUGAAAGCCCACGGCUCAACCGUGGAGGGUCAUUGGAAACUGGGAGACUUGAGUGCAGAAGAGGAAAGUGGAAUUCCAUGUGUAGCGGUGAAAUGCGUAGAGAUAUGGAGGAACACCAGUGGCGAAGGCGGACUUUCUGGUCUGUAACUGACACUGAGGCGCGAAAGCGUGGGGGAGCAAACAGG